rnacentral:rRNA from 1 species
GUCGAGCGAACAGACGAGGAGCUUGCUCCUCUGACGUUAGCGGCGGACGGGUGAGUAACACGUGGAUAACCUACCUAUAAGACUGGGAUAACUUCGGGAAACCGGAGCUAAUACCGGAUAAUAUAUUGAACCGCAUGGUUCAAUAGUGAAAGACGGUUUUGCUGUCACUUAUAGAUGGAUCCGCGCCGCAUUAGCUAGUUGGUAAGGUAACGGCUUACCAAGGCAACGAUGCGUAGCCGACCUGAGAGGGUGAUCGGCCACACUGGAACUGAGACACGGUCCAGACUCCUACGGGAGGCAGCAGUAGGGAAUCUUCCGCAAUGGGCGAAAGCCUGACGGAGCAACGCCGCGUGAGUGAUGAAGGUCUUCGGAUCGUAAAACUCUGUUAUUAGGGAAGAACAAAUGUGUAAGUAACUAUGCACGUCUUGACGGUACCUAAUCAGAAAGCCACGGCUAACUACGUGCCAGCAGCCGCGGUAAUACGUAGGUGGCAAGCGUUAUCCGGAAUUAUUGGGCGUAAAGCGCGCGUAGGCGGUUUUUUAAGUCUGAUGUGAAAGCCCACGGCUCAACCGUGGAGGGUCAUUGGAAACUGGAAAACUUGAGUGCAGAAGAGGAAAGUGGAAUUCCAUGUGUAGCGGUGAAAUGCGCAGAGAUAUGGAGGAACACCAGUGGCGAAGGCGACUUUCUGGUCUG